AGAACGAACGCUGGCGGCAUGCCUAACACAUGCAAGUCGAACGAGACCUUCGGGUCUAGUGGCGCACGGGUGCGUAACGCGUGGGAAUCUGCCCUUAGGUACGGAAUAACAGUGAGAAAUUACUGCUAAUACCGUAUGAUGUCUUCGGACCAAAGAUUUAUCGCCUAGGGAUGAGCCCGCGUAGGAUUAGCUAGUUGGUGGGGUAAAGGCCUACCAAGGCUACGAUCCUUAGCUGGUCUGAGAGGAUGAUCAGCCACACUGGGACUGAGACACGGCCCAGACUCCUACGGGAGGCAGCAGUGGGGAAUAUUGGACAAUGGGCGAAAGCCUGAUCCAGCAAUGCCGCGUGAGUGAAGAAGGCCUUCGGGUUGUAAAGCUCUUUACCCGGGAAGAUAAUGACUGUACCGGGAGAAUAGCCCGGCUAACUCCGCGCCAGCAGCCGC
rnacentral:rRNA from 1 species